rnacentral:rRNA from 1 species
UACGGAGGGAGCUAGCGUUAUUCGGAAUUACUGGGCGUAAAGCGCACGUAGGCGGCUUUGUAAGUAAGAGGUGAAAGCCCAGAGCUCAACUCUGGAAUUGCCUUUUAGACUGCAUCGCUUGAAUCAUGGAGAGGUCAGUGGAAUUCCGAGUGUAGAGGUGAAAUUCGUAGAUAUUCGGAAGAACACCAGUGGCGAAGGCGGCUCACUGGCCCGGUACUGACGCUGAUGUGCGAAAGCGUGGGGAGUAAACAGG